GGUCACUUGGAGUUUGCUGGGUGCUGUGAGGAGGAAGGGACAGGAGGUUGUGUGAGGGACAGACAGGGUUAGGUGGCAGUGCCAGGGACAGGAAGGAGUGAGCUGGAACUGCAGAAGGAAGAGAGAAGAAGGAGAGAAAGAGCCAGAGCUGUGUGGAGCUGCCUGUGGGAGGCUGCACAGAAAAGGUGGACUCUGGGAGCUGUUUUAACCCGGCCAUGUUCACAGAAUCUGUUUGAACACCACACAAAUCUGCUGAAGAUGAACCCGUGCAGUACUUCCCUGUGUCCUUAUCUUCCUCCAGAAGAUGCUUCACUGGCAGAAGGACUCCUGGGUGCGGACCCAGUGUCUGGUCCUUUUCUCAGGCUGCAGCCUCCAGAGAGUGGAAAACUACAGGUUCUGUACAUACACUGACAAAGGAAGUGGGAAGAGUCCAACACCACAACAAGAGAAAGAGAAGUUAUGCAUCCGAGAAAGCUGUAGCUGAAGACCAGGCAACUGUAAAGGACAAAAGCCUCUGAAGACAAAAUGUGUGAUGAAAUCACUGACUUGAGAGAAGCCAGGGACCAGGAGGAGUCUGUGGUUAAACAGAUGUUAUAACUUACACACCAAAGUGAACUACAGCAAAUACUCGUGUGACAUUGCACAAGCUUCCAAAGAACUGACCUAAGUUUCAGCCCAGAAGAACAUAGAUUGAAUAAAUUUCUCCUGUAAGAACCUCUGCACAGGCAUCAAGGCAGCCAUCAAACAGAAGGGAGAGGAAACCAGCUGUACGCUCACAGGUCCUCUUCAGAAAGUUCUGCCGCAGUCCCCUGAGGAACGUCGUGCAGGAUGCUGUGCCAAGAAAAAUAGCACAGAGGUCUGAUGCUAGUGUAAUUAUCUGCUCGAACAACUGAUCCACUGUAGAUGUCAGCAUCCAGCUCAAAUGCAUUCUCUCACCUGCAGUAAAUAGCCUUGUUAAUGACCUCAUGAUGAGGAGACUCGCAGACAUACACCGAGUCAUUAAGUGAUUUGAUAAUGAGACACUGGAAUAAUUGCAUGUAGUUUGUGAAGGUCUUUGAUGUGACACUUCAGUCAGGAACAAGUAAACACAAGGGAACCAUCUAAAAAAAGAGAGAGUUGGUCAUCUUUUUUUUUUUUUUUUUUCCUCCUCAGAGAAGAGAUCAACAAAUAAAUUCAGUGAGAAAUCAGAAUCUGAACUCUCAAAGACAGAAUAAAAUGACUCAAUUUACAUAUCUUGGCAGUCAUAUCCUUCUGAAAACAUCACAGGCUGGCUAAGGCAGGGCAGGAUUUGGCAGCUUAAGAUUUGGUUUUGGGAAAUCUGCACUUUAAAGUGAAUCACUGAGUCGUUGGUAUUCCAUUUUAAUAAAUGUAUUUGAAGGUUUUAGGUCUUUAAAAGUGCAGGAGGAGAUCUAAAAACUGAAUUGCUACAAUAAAUUUCUAAGAAAUGCAGCGAUUCAGCUGUCAACAGCCCCUUAGGUUGGAAGAAAAGUUUAAGAGAAGAGGUUGGAAAACUGUUGAGAAAGAGUGUCUACUUUUAAAGUCUUCAGUAACUGAGUAAUUGCCAAAUUAUGCAAAAGAGACCAAGGAACUGAGAAUGCAUCUCCAGAGGUCCUAAUCAGAAAGUGGAAGAAAUACUCUUGGGACACUAGGAGCAAGGUUCAAUAUGGACAAACUUGGUGAAUACUUCUUUAUGGACAGUAAUAUCUAAUGCACUGAAUUCUAAAGUUGGCAAACACAGAGUUAUCUGCUUUUACAGAAAUACACCAAACCUCAGUGAGAACUAAAUUCUAUUCCAGGCAUCUCUGAUAUCCUGGGAACUGAAGAUUAAAUGUCUAUCUGACAGCAUGGAGAAAAACCUCAAACUCCAGCAGAACAACAUCCAGUCCCAGCUGCAAUAUCCUCAUCUUCUCCUGGCUUCUACGGGGAAGUUUAAAAUUUUCCAGAAUCUAAUGAAGUACAUGGCAGAAAUCUUAGGCAUUCUCUAGAAGGUUGUCCAAGAAAAACAAGAAAACUCUUGGAAAUAUUGUGCUUGUCAACACAAGCAGUGUAGCCAUGCCCAUCUGGCAUACACCUGUAUAGACCUUGACCAUGUCCAAGAAAAGCAGACGGAAGACAUCAAGCUCCUGCAAAAGCUUUUUUUAACAUGUUUUUUUGCUCCUGACUGCAGUGCUUGAGGGAACCAAGUAGAUCCACCCUUAAUGCCCUCUGUGGGGAGAGGACAUCCUUGAGGGAUUUGGUAUGAGAGGGUUCAUCCUGCAUCUUUAAAUAUGUUAGAGGUUGAUUAGGUGCUAAUGUUUUAAUGAGGAAAUCUACCGGUGUGACUCCUGGAAGAUGGCUGAGCUCCCUGCAGCUCCAACCAAGUCAUCUUGUUUUGUCUCCAGGUUACACUAACCACAGCUGGCACUCCAACAUAUGCAAUGGCUUUUCAUGGAUGCCAUCCUGAGUUUAGCGUUCAGAAAUCCUCUGAGUGAUCAAUGUAACAGCCGAGGACAUCUGUCUGAGACUGUCUUUAUCAGUGGUGUGUGUGACGCCUUCUACAUCAUAACAUGCUCUCAGGCAAGUUUCUGCAGGGCUUCUGUGUCAGGAUUUCUCAAAAAACCAAACCAAAACAACAGAAAACUUGUGACAAGGAGCAUAUUUUAGAGCGAUGCUAAACACAUCACCAGCCACUAGGACUCACAGAUUUAACGUGGCAGAACCACAAAAGGCACCCUGUGCUGUGGGUGAGGCUUCCCAUAGGUAGUAGGUUUUGCUGACAGCACUAGGAUAAUUUAUUUUCCAUUCUACUGUUCUCGAGAUCUGAGGGAGAUUUCAUCUUCAUUUCUGUGAAGAUCUGUCAGACCUGCUGAUCUUUGCUCCCGUAAAGGUGAGGUCAAUCUACACAGCUUAGUACUGCAAGCCCUUUGGCUGUUUUCUCUCUCUCUUUUUCUGGUUUCUUUUAAGGAUUCUCUUCACAGGAGGAAGUUAGUCAUCCUCUGUGUUUGGACCUUUGAUGGAGGCUCUUUUAAAGUACAGAGGUUUCAUUCCUGAUACUUCCAAAGAAGCCAAGGGCCUGCAGACACGUCCGUGAUUGCCGCUGUUUUACGCUAUUUGCGCUUUCAGAUUUUGGGCUCUGACGUCAGUCACGUUCUGUACAUUUCAUCCUUGUUCUGGUUUGUGCACCUGCAGGAUGUGAAGUGUCUGCCUUGCUGUUCCAAUCCCAUCAGUUCACCUUCUCCAGUGACUCAGUGCUCGAGAGGGAAAACUCAUCUGAACAGGACGAGUUCUAAUUCAGGAUCUCUGAACCACUUGGAGAGCUUGCUCAUACAUAAGUGUCUCUUAAAAACCUCAACCCUCGGCUGGUAUGGAGUUUUUCUUCUCCUUUCCUCAUGGAUUAAUUAGUCAUGAAGGUGGAAAAUAGCAUAUAAAUGCAAGUAACUAAUAAACAAGGGCUGAGAAGACAGCCCUUCACUUCGACAGGGUCCCUUCUGCAUUCCACCCCGAGAUAGCUCAGUACCUAUGCAUGUUUCUUUUAUUUGGCAGGAAUUUUUCAGACACUCCUAAAGACUGAGUCAUCAAGGAUCUUUGAGAAUUCCCUGGAACAGAACCACUUGAAAUAGAAGAGGUGUGACCCCAUGUGCUGUGUGAGAGAUGGCUUCCUUUUCUUUUGUACAUCACAAUUGUUGUACAUACCGAAUUCUGAGAAUCCUAAGGAAGUAAGGCUGGAAUUUCUCUAUUAUGAGACAAGAUACUUCUGGUAUUUUGCUCUGCUGGCAACUAAAAGCUAAUUGGUGGCUUUGCAUGCCUUACCAAAAAAUGUCUUCCAGAAAAACGGGAAAAUCUUGUACCUGGUCUCUUGUCUCUCGUUCUAUAGCAAAUUAGUUGUUGCUAGACUGAAGGUCUAAUGAGAGUUCUGUACUGUUCCAGAAGUUCACAGAAUUACAGAAUUAAUCACGGAAUCACAGAACGGUUUGGGUUGAAAAGGAGCUUGAAGAUCAUUCUGUUCCAUCCCCCUACCCUGGGCAGGGACACCUUCCACUUGAUCAGGUUGCUCAGGGCCCCAUCCAACCUGGCCUUGGACACUUCCAGGGAGCCACAGCUUCUCUGGGCACCCUGUGCCAGGGCCUCACCACACCCACAGGGAAGAAUUUCUUCCUAAUAUCCCACCUAAGCCUACUCUCUGUCAGUUUAAACCAUUCCCCCUUGUCCCACCACUGCAUCUCCUGGCAAAAACUCCCUCUCCAUAUUGCUCAUUCCUUCUUGAGAGCACCAUGCAAGAGUGCAAAUGCAAUCAUGGUUGACAUUCUCUGACCAAUACAAAGGUAAUGAUCAUAUCUGGCUUCAAACAUUGAAACCAUUAAUGGAUUUAAAAGGGAUGAGAUUAAAGCAUUCCAUCCUUCACGAAGAACAUUCUGUGAUUGCUGUUACCAGUUACUGGGCUAUGGUAAAUUGUUUAGAGACCUUAAUUUCAUAUAUUUCUCACAGUUUUCAAGAAAGGGGAAAAAGGGACGUUGUAUGCUCAUUUCACAAAAGGUACAUUUCUAGAGAAAAAGGAAAGUAUAAGUGGAAGACACAAAAAUUUGAGUAUCUGAAAAGAAUAAAAUGAAUGGGUUUCAUCGAAGGCAAAAAUUAAACCCAAAGGGAAGACUGGGUAAAUUACUUUGACCUGGGAAAUCUUUAGUACAGGGGCUGUUUUUAUUGUUCUUUCCUGUGUCUGGCAUAAUGUGAACCCAUUACAGCAGCUCCCCAGUUCUCCCAUACUUCAAAUAAAAUAAAAGUAAUUACAGUCAAAAAGAGUUCUGUCAGGCUGUCACUGUAGAUAAGAGCAUGUAGGGAUAAGGUAAUCACAGUGGUCAAACAGGUAAAUAUUAAAACUGAUG